AUCAAACAAUAAACAAAACAAAACAAUCCAAAAAUGUGAAGUCCAGUCCAACUAUACAGUGCAAAAAUAAAUAAUGCGGAAAUAUAAAUCUAUUCUACCCUAGACUAAUCCUAUACUACGCUCUACCGCUUCACCCGAUGCCUCGGGCCUUCACCACGAACAUCUUCCAAGUACAAGGUACCUCGGGGCAUUCCCCGGUGAAUAAAUAUAUACAGAUACUUUGGGGCAUUCCCC
rnacentral:lncRNA from 1 species